CAUGGACAUGGGGGAUCCAGUGGUCAGAGUGUGCUUGGACUUUCAGAAAGCCUUUGACAAGAUCCCUCACCAAAGGCUCUUAAACCAAGGAUCUCCAGCGAGUCCAGAUGGAUUUAGACCCCGGCAGAGACUUCACGCCUUUGGGAAUGAUGCAGCCAGCCCGGAUUGUCAACGGCACAGGGCUCCGGGCGGCCUUUGCAAAGCAAACUGGUGUUUAUUCAUCCCCUGCAAUCCAGGACUAACGGGGCACACACACAAGAAUAGGACGUGCAGUGGAUCCAAGCUACCCGGAUGUCCGGAAGGGUUUGGAUCCAGUUCCACAUGGGAAACUAUUUGUUACAUUGAA